ACUGCUCAGUAACACGUAGUUAACCUAACCUAUGGAUGGGGAUAACCUCGGGAAACUGAGAAUAAUCCCCGAUAGAUCACAAUGCCUGGAAUGGUUUGUGAUUCAAAUGAUUUAUCGCCGUAGGAUGGGACUGCGGCCUAUCAGCUAGUUGGUGAGGUAAUGGCCCACCAAGGCUAUAACAGGUACGGGCUCUGAGAGGAGGGGCCCGGAGAUGGGUACUGAGACACGGACCCAGGCCCUAUGGGGCGCAGCAGGCGAGAAACCUUUGCAAUGUGCGAAAGCACGACAAGGUUAAUCCGAGUGUCUUCUGCUAAAGAAGUCUUUUGUUAGUCAUAGAACCACUGAUGAAUAAGGGGUGGGCAAGUUCUGGUGUCAGCCGCCGCGGUAAAACCAGCACCUCGAGUGGUCAGGAGGUUUAUUGGGCCUAAAGCAUCCGUAGCCGGUUGUUUAAGUUUUCGGUUAAAUCUAUGCGCUUAACGUAUAGGCUGCCGAAAAUACUGGACAGCUAGGGAGUGGGAGAGGUACACGGUACUCAAUAGGAAGGGGUAAAAUCCUUUGAUCUGUUGAUGACCACCUGUGGCGAAGGCGGUGUACCAGAACACGUUCGACGGUGAGGGAUGAAAGCUGGGGGAGCAAACCGGAUUAGAUACCCGGGUAGUCCCAGCUGUAAACGAUGCAAACUCGGUGAUGCAUUGGCUUGUGGCCAAUGCAGUGCCGCAGGGAAGCCGUUAAGUUUGCCGCCUGGGGAGUACGUACGCAAGUAUGAAACUUAAAGGAAUUGGCGGGGGAGCAC
rnacentral:rRNA from 1 species